rnacentral:rRNA from 1 species
AACGCGAAGAACCUUACCUACCCUUGACAUGCUAGGAAGUCUGCAGAGAUGCGGAUGUGCCUUCGGGAACCUAGACACAGGUGCUGCAUGGCUGUCGUCAGCUCGUGUCGUGAGAUGUUGGGUUAAGUCCCGUAACGAGCGCAACCCUUAUCCUUAGUUACCAGCACGUUAUGGUGGGAACUCUAAGGAGACUGCCGGUGACAAACCGGAGGAAGGUGGGGAUGACGUCAAGUCCUCAUGGCCCUUAUGGGUAGGGCUACACACGUGUUACAAUGGUCGGUACAGAGGGUCGCCAACCCGCGAGGGGGAGCCAAUCCCGAAAAACCGAUCUCAGUCCGGAUUGAGGUCUGCAACUCGACCCCAUGAAGUUGGAAUCGCUAGUAAUCGCGGAUCAGAACGCCGCGGUGAAUACGUUCCCGGGCCUUGUA